GAUGAACGCUGGCGGCGUGCUUAACACAUGCAAGUCGAACGAAGCACUUUAUUUGAUUUCCUUUGGGACUGAUUAUUUUGUGACUGAGUGGCGGACGGGUGAGUAACGCGUGGGUAACCUGCCUUGUACAGGGGGAUAACAGUUGGAAACGGCUGCUAAUACCGCAUAAGCGCACAGCAUCGCAUGAUGCAGUGUGAAAAACUCCGGUGGUAUAAGAUGGACCCGCGUUGGAUUAGCUAGUCGGUGAGGUAACGGCCCACCAAGGCGACGAUCCAUAGCCGAGCUGGGAGGGUGACCGGCCACAUUGGGACUGAGACACAGCCCAAACUCCUACGGGAGGCAGCAGUAGGGAAUAUUGCACAAUGAGCGAAAACCUGAUGCAGCGACGCCGCGUGAGCGAAGAAGUAUUUCGGUAUGUAAAGCUCUAUCAGCAGAGAAGAUAAUGACGGUACCUGACAAAGAAGCACCGGCUAAAUACGUG
rnacentral:rRNA from 1 species